UUGGCCCUAAAUCAAGGCCAUCGGUUUGCUGUAGCCGUUGGUUUCAAGCAGGAGCCCAGAGGAAAUGUCUCCCGGUCUGCUGGCGCUCCCGUCCCCGUGGAACGACCAAUUCGUGUGGGAGCGACAACA
ensembl:snoRNA